rnacentral:rRNA from 1 species
GACGUAGGGGGCGAGCGUUGUCCGGAGUUACUGGGCGUAAAGGGCCCGUAGGCGGUCAAGCGCGUUGGGGGUGCCAGUGGGCGGCUUACCUGCCCAAGUGCUCCCAAGACGGCUGGACUUGAGGGCCUCAGAGGGACAUGGAACUCCGGGUGGAGCGGUGAAAUGCGUAGAGAUCCGGAAGAACACCAAAGGCGCAGGCAGUGUCCUGGGAGGCAACUGACGCUGAGGGGCGAAAGCCAGGGGAG